UACAUAGCUUAAUGAGGGGAACUCAGGGAACUGAAACAUCUAAGUACCUGAAGGAAGAGAAAGAAAUUCGAUUCCGUAAGUAGCGGCGAGCGAACGCGGAUUAGCCCAAACCAAUAAAGUUUUCUUUAUUGGGGUUGCGGACAUAUCAUAACGAAGAGGUAUCGUAAUUGAAGAGGUUUGGAAAGACCCACCACAGAAGGUAAUAGUCCUGUAUGUUAAACGAGAAGACUUUAGAUAUGAUCCAGAGUACCACGGGACACGUGAAACCCUGUGGGAAGCAGGAGGGACCACCCUCCAAGGCUAAAUACUACCUAGUGACCGAUAGCGUAUAGUACCGUGAGGGAAAGGUGAAAAGAACCCCGGGAGGGGAGUGAAAUAGAACCUGAAACCCUGCACUUACAAGCUGUGGAAGCACAUUUCUUGUGUGACCGCGUACUUUUUGUAGAACGGGCCAACGAGUUACGUUAAGUAGCAGGUUAAGCACUUAAGGUGCGGAGCCGUAGCGAAAGCGAGUUUUAACUGAGCGUUCAGUUACUUGACGUAGACCCGAAACCGGGCGACCUACCCAUGAGCAGGAUGAAGCGAAAGUAAAAUUUCGUGGAGGUCCGAACCCACGAGCGUUGAAAAGCUCGGGGAUGACUUGUGGGUAGCGGUGAAAUUCCAAUCGAGCCCGGAGAUAGCUGGUUCUCCCCGAAAUAGCUUUAGGGCUAGCCUCAAGGUGAGAGAUACGGAGGUAGAGCACUGAAUGUCCUAGGGGGUAUUGCACCUACCGAAGACUAUCAAACUCCGAAU
rnacentral:rRNA from 1 species